AAUAGAUACCCUGGUAGUCCACGCCGUAAACGAUGAGUGCUAGGUGUUGGGGGGACCCCCCUCAGUGCCGCAGGUAACCCAAUAAGCACUCCGCCUGGGGAGUACGGUCGCAAGACUGAAACUCAAAGGAAUUGACGGGGGCCCGCACAAGCGGUGGAGCAUGUGGUUUAAUUCGAGGCAACGCGAAGAACCUUACCAGGGCUUGACAUCCCGCUGACCGGUGUAGAGAUAUGCCUUUCCCCUUCGGGGGACAGCGGUGACAGGUGGUGCAUGGUUGUCGUCAGCUCGUGUCGUGAGAUGUUGGGUUCAGUCCCGCAACGAGCGCAACCCUUGUUCUAGUUGCCAGCACUUCGGGUGGGCACUCUAGAGAGACAGCCGGUGAAAGCCGGAGGAAGGUGGGGAUGACGUCAAAUCAUCAUGCCCCUUAUGUCCUGGGCUACACACGUGCUACAAUGGCUGGUACAAAGGGCAGCGAACCCGCGAGGGGGAGCCAAUCCCAAAAAACCAGUCUCAGUUCGGAUUGCAGGCUGCAACUCG
rnacentral:rRNA from 1 species